rnacentral:rRNA from 1 species
GUUAAAAAGCUCGUAGUUGGAUCUCGGCGGUCUGAGGGCGGUUCGCUUGAUUGAGUGCUACUGCUCUAUAGGCCGUGGUUUUGCCAGAGGUCUCGGGGUGCUCUUAACCGAGUGUCCUGCGAUGAUGGCAGGUUUACUUUGAAAAAAUUAGAGUGCUCAAAGCAGGCUUUUACGCCUGAAUAUUCGUGCAUGGAAUAAUAGAAUAGGAAGUCGUUUCUAUUUUGUUGGUUUUCGGAAAUCGACUUAAUGAUUAAUAGGGACAGUCGGGGGCAUUUGUAUUCAAACCGACAGAGGUGAAAUUCUUGGACCGUUUGAAGACCAAACUACUGCGAAAGCAUUUGCCAAGAAUG